rnacentral:snoRNA from 1 species
UCCGGUGAUGAUUAUAUCCAUAUAAUUUGAGGUGUAGUAGAACCAAGCCCCUGUUUACAGGGAGAACCUACUUGGGAAAACUGCAUUUCAUAUGAAAUUAAUGGAUAUUGCUGAGGU